CCGUAUACGCGGGAACGUGUACGUACGGUUCGGAGGCGAGCAUUGGAAAACCGACCAUAGCAAUAUGGCGCGGCGUCGGGUGCUUAGCCUAC
rnacentral:ncRNA from 1 species